rnacentral:rRNA from 1 species
AGUGAAUGGGAUUUCCACCAGCUCUAGUGGCCCGGCCGGUUCUCAGGUCCCGACCAAUUUCAUUUCAAGGUUGACCUCGGAUCAGGUAGGGAUACCCGCUGAACUUAAGCAUAUCAAUAAGCGGAGGAAAAGAAACCAACUGGGAUUGCCUCAGUAACGGCGAGUGAAGCGGCAAAAGCUCAAAUUUGAAAUCUGACUUCCAACGGGGGUCCGAGUUGUAAUUUGCAGAGGAUGCUUCGGGUGCGACCGCGGCGCAAGUCCCUUGGAACAGGGCGUCGCAGAGGGUGAGAAUCCCGUCUCGAGUCGCUGGUUCGCGCCCGUGUGAAGCUCCUUCGACGAGUCGAGUUGUUUGGGAAUGCAGCUCUAAGCGGGUGGUAAAUUUCAUCUAAAGCUAAAUAUUGGCCGGAGACCGAUAGCGCACAAGUAGAGUGAUCGAAAGGUUAAAAGCACCUUGAAAAGGGAGUUAAAUAGCACGUGAAAUUGUUGAAAGGGAAGCGCUUGCGACCAGACUCGGGGGCGGGGGUUCAGCGGCCAUCCGUGGCCGUGUACUCCCCCGUGUCCCGGGCCAGCAUCGGUUCGCGCGGCCGGUCAAAGGUCCCCGGAAUGUGUCGUCUCUCGGGACGUCUUAUAGCCGGGGGCGCAAUGCGGCCAGCGUGGACCGAGGAACGCGCUCGGCUCGG